GCGCUAUACAGGACCAAAAUUCGAGGAGGCUGAUUGGAGUGGGUGAAUAGUGUGAGGGGCUAUAUUUUCUCAAAGGGGUGGUUUCGGCAAAUGCUUGUAAAGCUUCUAGAGUUGCAGACUUUGAUCUUUGGCAUAUGAGAAUGGGUCAUCCGUCAAAUAAGGUGAUAGAGCUGAUUUUUGCAGCUGAUAUUUCCAGUAAAAAUAGUAGAAAUUUAAGUUGUGAUGUUUGUUUUAGAGCAGACAAACUAGAGAGAUGUUUUAUUCUAGUGAGAAUAAAGCCAAAGAAUGUUUUGAUUUAAUGCAAUGUGAUUUAUGG
rnacentral:misc_RNA from 1 species